ACGAGUUGGAACGUGGAGGUUGAUGCUGGUGCAUAUAUUUAUUGUGUACAUGUGCUCGCCUUCACACUCUUCAUCCCACUCAACUCUUGUGCACUUUAUCAGAGUUAGUAAUAGUAAUAGUAUUGUGGCAGCCAUUUGUUGUUAUUCAUUGUUAGAAGCAGGUAAUCCUUUCUGACAGUAGUAAUAAUCUUGGUCUACUACUACUACUAUGAACAUUCUGACUUUUACUUAUACAAAUACUUUUCUUGUGAAUGUGAAUGUGUAAUGCUCCUCGUGAGCGAAAUACAAAUAUACAACUUUCAACAACGGAUCUCUUGGCUCUCGCAUCGAUGAAGAACGCAGCGAAAUGCGAUAAGUAAUGUGAAUUGCAGAAUUCAGUGAAUCAUCGAAUCUUUGAACGCACCUUGCGCCCCUUAGUAUUCUGAGGGGCAUGCCUGUUUGAGUGUCAUGAAAUUCUCAAUCCUCUUCUUCUUAAUUGAAGGAAGGGGCUUGGAUUUGGAGGUAUAUAUGCUGGUACUGUUUGUAUUGGCUCCUCUCAAAUACAUUAGCUGGACUGUAGUUCGCGUUGUUUGGUGUAAUAGCUUUCUAUCUAUAUUCACUGCAGUGCUUACUUAGACUGGUCUGCUUCCAAUAGUCCGCCUAUGUGUCGGACAAGGUAUACUGUUACCUUAAAUCAUUUUGACCCCUUUGACCUCA
rnacentral:rRNA from 1 species